rnacentral:lncRNA from 1 species
GGAAAACUAGAAAACCCUUGAAUAUCGGCCGGAAUCUGGAAAGAACUUGAAGAUUGCCGGAGAUACGCCUAAGAAUUCGCCGAGAAACUAGAGAAUUUUUUGAGAGUGUUUGGGAGGGUUUUCUAGCACUUAAACUUGGAAACUUUGGAGUGAAAUGAGAAAUGAACUCUCAGUCACUCAUUAUAUAGGCAAUCCACAACCGGUUCACUUGCCGGUAAACCCUAAAAUGAACUGGCUACAGCCCGUAAAAUGGGCCUUGGGCCGGUCAUCAAGCCUUGUCAAAGGCG